GACGAACCGUGCAAACGUUGUUCGGAAUCACUGGGCUUAAAGGGCGCGUAGGCGGGUUGCCAAGUCCGGGGUGAAAGCCCCCAGCUCAACUGGGGAAGUGCCUUGGAUACUGGUGAUCUUGAGGGAGGUAGGGGCAUGCGGAACUUCCGGUGGAGCGGUGAAAUGCGUAGAUAUCGGAAGGAACGCCGGUGGCGAAAGCGGCGUGCUGGACCUCUUCUGACGCUGAGGCGCGAAAGCCAGGGGAGCAAACGGG
rnacentral:rRNA from 1 species